GACGAACGCUGGCGGCGUGCUUAACACAUGCAAGUCGAACGGAAAGGCCCUGCUUGCAGGGUACUCGAGUGGCGAACGGGUGAGUAACACGUGGGUGAUCUGCCCUGCACUUCGGGAUAAGCCUGGUAAACUGGGUCUAAUACCGGAUAGGAGCCAUUUUUAGUGUGAUGGUUGGAAAGUUUUUUCGGUGUAGGAUGAGCUCGCGGCCUAUCAGCUUGUUGGUGGGGUAAUGGCCUACCAAGGCGGCGACGGGUAGCCGGCCUGAGAGGGUGGACGGCCACAUUGGGACUGAGAUACGGCCCAGACUCCUACGGGAGGCAGCAGUGGGGAAUAUUGCACAAUGGGCGCAAGCCGGAUGCAGCGACGCCGCGUGGGGGAUGACGGCCUUCGGGUUGUAAACUCCUUUCGCUAGGGACGAAGCUUUUUGUGACGGUACCUAGAUAAGAAGCACCGGCUAACUACGUG
rnacentral:rRNA from 1 species